CGACGUAGGUAACCUGCUUGGUAGCGGGGGAUAACUAUUGGAAACGAUAGCUAAUACCGCAUAAUAGCAGUUAUUGCAUGAUAACUGUUUGAAAGGUGCAAUUGCAUCACUACCAGAUGGACCUGCGUUGUAUUAGCUAGUUGGUGGGGUAACGGCUCACCAAGGCGACGAUACGUAGCCGACCUGAGAGGGUGAUCGGCCACACUGGGACUGAGACACGGCCCAG
rnacentral:rRNA from 1 species